AACACAUGCAAGUCGAACGAUGAACCACUUCGGUGGGGAUUAGUGGCGAACGGGUGAGUAACACGUGGGCAAUCUGCCCUUCACUCUGGGACAAGCCCUGGAAACGGGGUCUAAUACCGGAUACAACACUCUCGGGCAUCCGAUGAGUGUGGAAAGCUCCGGCGGUGAAGGAUGANCCCGCGGCCUAUCAGCUUGUUGGUGAGGUAACGGCUCACCAAGNCGACGACGGGUAGCCGGCCUGAGAGGGCGACCGGCCACACUGGGACUGAGACACGGCCCAGACUCCUACGGGAGGCAGCAGUGGGGAAUAUUGCACA
rnacentral:rRNA from 1 species